GAUUCUUGUCUAUGGAGGGAAGCAAUGCUUGAACUUGCCUUGUGAUUUGCUUUAAUAAGAAUCUUUUGCCUUGUGAAACUCCAAAUGCUGUACAGCUAGAAAUUUUAAAGAGAAUGGGGCAGGAACAAAUUCUCGCCUUCUGUUCAAACUCAUGUUAUGUUCUUUUCUUCGUUUAGGGCUCUUCGCUUCAAGUCCAUGGUAUUCUUGCCUGUGUUCCGAUCUCCUUCUUGUACCCAUGCAUGCCGCCCUAGACUUUCGCCGAAAAAAAAGAUUCUUCAGCAGUCAUAUAUGCAGAAAGAAGAGAUAGCAGCCUCUUUCCUCAUCUACUUUCUGAUCAUUCAAAACAUAGAAGGAAGACCCAAAUUCUCAUGAGGACGGAGACAGUAGCUGCAGGUUAAUGGCAAUGGUAUUGUGGGCUAGUAUAAUUGAAUCAUGGUUAAACACCAGACAAAAAUGAAGAAAUUGCAUGCUUGAUUCCAUAAUAAUCAAUGCUUCAAGUCUUAAGUAACCAACUGAUCACUGAAAGGAUUGAAGUUGAUGGAAUCCAGGGGCAAGAAAGGAGUGAUCAAUGGCUAAAGAGAAGCCCACUAUGGAACACUUUGCCUUGCCGUUUUAAACUUCAUCCUCCUUUAGUUAUUCUGUGGGAAAAAAAGGAGAGGGAAUCGGUGCUCGAACUUGCCUUAUGGUCCAACUAUUUCACAAUUUGUUUUAAAUAAAAAGGUAAGAACCCAAGAACAAUAUUACAAGGCUCUGAUUUAUCCAAAUGCUGUACAGCUAGAAUUUUAAAGAGAAUGAGCCAGGAACAAAUUCUCGCGUUCUCUGUUCGAAGUCAUGUUGUGUUCUUUUCUUCUUUUUAAUGUUCUUCACUUCAAGUCCAUAAUAUUCUUUAUUCCAAGGAAUGAGAAAUUGUUCGGUCCUUCUGCAUUUCUCUUUCAAUAAUGAAUCUUGUGUUUCCAUUGAAAUUUCCUGCUCCCUUUUAAAGUCAUUCAGCAUUUCUCAUUUCCUUAACCAAUACUGUGUUCCCAUUAAAAUUUCCUGGAGCAUAAUAACCAAUUAUUUUCAGUCUUCUUCCUCAGAUUGUCCCCGAAAAUAUUGUGCUUUCUCAGCAAAUCUGUUGUAUGCUUCUUGUCUUUGGAAAUCCUGGGGUUUUGUAUAGAUAUUAUAUAGGUUCGUCAGUUCUUUUUUGUAUCGUGCAUUUUACUCUAAGGGCGUUGGACAUCCUGCAAGUAGAAUCAGCUCUAAACUUGUAUGAAUCCUAAUUCAUCUAUGAGAUUGACUUAAAUUCUCCUGAGUUUUCCAGGGUUAUACUUUUGCCAAAGCUUCUCAUUUCUGAAUUUAAUUUCAAUUUAAUCAUAAGCUCGUUAUAUUUCUCAGUACAAAUUAAGGGUCAGAUUAGCGCAGGGGAUCGUGGCCAGACUUUUGGAUGUUGCAUUAUCAUCACUUUGAAUUUUUCCUUCGAUGGUCCAACAGAGAGAACAAAGAGAAAUCUGAACUCACAAUCAUAUGCAGCAAGCAGAAGUCACGGCUCACACCCAUAAGAACAAGUUAAAGGUAGAUAGAUUUAGCAGAAAAGCCGCAAAGUUCCUAUAAAGCAAUGAAAACAAGCCUUUUUGUGCUGGCAACAACUCUCUUAAGAACCCUCCUCCCUCACAAUUUAUUGAAAACAAAAUGCCAAUUGGGACCAUCCAUCCAUGGGAGAAAACAAAGAAGAAAAUCCAACCUUUCAAGUAUGUGAAGGUCUGAAAGAACGAAGGAGUCGUAAAAAACUGCAUCCCAAUUUUGAUCAUAUCCUUCGCCAUCAAUGAAUAUGAAAGUGAAGGAAGGGCAUGUCGACUCUUGGUUCCAAAAUUUCUUUGUGGAGACCCACUGAAAGGACGACAAGCACGCUCUUGGCUGUCGUAGGCUUCAUGAUGUGUACAGAAAUGCAACCCAACCCCACAAUCUUCUCUUGUCUUCUCAUGUUUUCUGCCCAUUCAUCUAAUUAAGGCAUUCUCUUGACCUUCAGAGCUGCCUUCUUGUGUGUGAUCCCCAGUUGUUAAGACUUGUGGGGCUUGCACUCCAUGCCAAGCAUGUUCAGUGGUCAUCUGUCUAGUCUUUCAAAUUUGAACAAUGACCUUUCGGCUCGUACGUCAGAGCCUUUGUGGAUCGAAUGGUCUUGAAAAUUAGCCGACAACAGUAUAUCGGUACGGGCUUGCUGAUAGGUCAUAUUGUUUUAAUUUAAAAACAAAUGUUAACAGCGUGAAUAAUUUUUUGAUA